rnacentral:rRNA from 1 species
CCUACGGGAGGCAGCAGUGAGGAAUAUUGGUCAAUGGCCGAGAGGCUGAACCAGCCAAGUCGCGUGAGGGAUGACUGCCCUAUGGGUUGUAAACUUCUUUUAUAAGGGAAUAAAAAAUGCUACGUGUAGCAUUAUGCAUGUACUUUAUGAAUAAGCAUCGGCUAACUCCGUGCCAGCAGCCGCGGUAAUACGGAGGAUCCGUGCGUUAUCCGGAUUUAUUGGGUUUAAAGGGAGCGUAGAUGGGUUGUUAAGUCAGUUGUGAAAGUUUGCGGCUCAACCGUAAAAUUGCAGUUGAUACUGGCAGUCUUGAGUACAGUUGAGGUAGGCGGAAUUCGUGGUGUAGCGGUGAAAUGCUUAGAUAUCACGAAGAACCCCGAUUGCGAAGGCAGCUUACUAAACUGUGACUGACACUGAGGCUCGAAAGUGUGGGUAUCAAACAGGAUUAGAUACCCGUGUAGUC